rnacentral:lncRNA from 1 species
AUGGACUGCGUGACCUUGGGCAAGUCCCUGGACAUCUUGGCAUCUUCCUGCCCUAGGCUCCCGCCUCGGGGACCUCAACCCCGGCCCCCCACGGCGGGGGGCAUUCCGUGGGCCGGGAGGGCGGCCCAGCGGCAGGCGCGGAGCCUGCCCCCCCCCCCGCCCCCCGCCGGCCCCGCAGGUGCCCGGUCCCCACCCCCGGCCGCGCAGGUGGGGACGGGGCGGCGGGGGGCGGGCGCGGCGGCAGGGAGCCGAGUGCCCGGUGGCCCGCAGGCCGCGCCGCAGCCACGCCGAGUCCGCGGCGGCCGCAGGGAGGGCGCGCGGGGGGCCGCCCGCGCUCGCCGCCGACCCGCCCGGCCCCCACCCCCCGGCCCCGGCCCCCGCGGCGCCCCCCGGCCCGGCCCCGGCCCCGGCCCCGGCCCGCGGGGGGCUGGACUCCCGCCGGGCGGGCCCCCUGGCCGCCGCCCCUCCCGGCGCCCGCUCCCGCUCCCGCUCCCGCUCCCCGCGCGCCCCCCUCCCGGCCGCCAGCCAACUGCGUGCCCCCGGGGCCGGCAAGAAGCCACAUGCCCCCGCAAGGAAUGCCGGGCCUGGCGGGCGGGGGGCGGCGCUGGGCAGGGCCGGGCGGGCAGGGCAGGGAGCUCCCCGCCGGGAAGGUUGGUGAGACGGAGGGCGGCCCGCGCCCUGCCCGCGCCCCGGCCCCCGCGCCCCGCGCCCCGCGCCCUGCCCGGCCCCCGCGCCCCGCGCCCCGCCGCGCGGCCUCACACUUUCCCCGCCGGACACGCGGGCGGGACGGGGCGGGGCGGGGGCCGGGGCCGGGGCCGGGGCCGGGGUGCGGGCGGCGCGGGGCGCGGGGCGCGGGGCCCGGGGCGGGGCGACUCGGGCCGCCCCCGCCCCCUCGGCGCGCCCCCGGCCCCGCGGGCUCGGCGGAGGGGGCAGGCCGUCGUGUUUCCCCGCACCCCUCCCAGCCGCCGCCGGCUUUGGGGCCCCGGUGGGGAGCAGGGGGCUGAUUAG